GAGCCGGACGCAGGCGUGCCUGCGCAGUGCGCGGAGGAGUGCUGUUCGUGUGUUCGAGUCCCUGGGUUGCUUCCUGGGGUCUGUGGUGCUGGGUGUGCUAUCUGCGUGUGAUUCUCUAGCGAGAGAUUGUGGGCGAGUGACCGAGUGGGCAAGGGGCCGUCACUGUGUGUGCGUGAUUUUGACAGUGUGUGGUGGUAGCUUCUGACUCCGCGUGGGUCGUUGAAUGUAUGACUGGGACCGUUUAGCGGUGGAUACACAACUGUGUGCGGCUGUGGAAGAUUGCCUCAUCCGUUACGUUCCCAUUUCCGUGGAACAACAGUUUUACCAGAAGGUUUCGAAGGAACCUUAAAGUUUGGAAGCGUAAGAGUUUAUCUGGCGGCUUUGGUGUCAUCAAAUGUGAGAAGCCCUGGACUUUACACAUCCCGAGCCAGUGUGAUCCAGUAUGAUUGGGAGUCCGAGUGCCAGAUGCCGGUCAGGACCUGUUAUGCUGGGUCUCAGAAUGCGGAAACUCUCCCUGUCCGAGGUGGAACAGUUUGUCCUUGAGUGAGGACUGGAGUCCUGAGUGACUCUUUUGAUUUGAUCCUGUUUCCCUCAAACCUGAGAUGGGAGCCUCACUGUAUUGCCCAGGCUGGUCUUGAACUCCGGAGCUCAAGUGAUCGUCUUGCUUCAGCCUUGCAAAAUGAUGGUGAAGCUGCAUCAUUGUCUGGGGUAAAUACCUGAGGUUCGUUGUCUCACGCCAAGGGAAUCAAGGACGUGGACACACAAGAAAUGGAGUCCCUGUCUGACCGGGCCAUGUUGUAUGUUCCUUGCUGUACACGUGGUUGACAAAGAAAAGGGAAGAUGGAGCUGCGAUGUUGGACAUGCCUGGCCCCCAGGUAGCUUUUUCCUAUUGGCACAGCUGCUGGCAUUCACCCGUGCAAACUUCCAGCUUGCUUAUCUAUGUCUGCAGCUUGAUUUUUCAGGCUGCUGUUUGUUAGAAAAGAAAUGACUUGGGGGCUGCUUUUCAUUAAAAGGAAAACCUUACCGGGGAUUUCCUUACCCUCACUAUCUGCCUAAAUAAUUUCUUUUUAACUCCUAUGUCACUUGGGAUUACAGGCAUGAGCCGCUGUGCCUGCUAGAGGGUUUUUUAUCUUUAUUCCUCAAGAUUUUGCAUUUAGAUAAUUAUGUUAAACUUGGGUGUGCUAGGUAGACAUACGUCUGCUGAUUACCUGUUUAGGAAGAAUGUGGAUUCGUACGUAGGGAAAAGGAGUCAGGCUGGUGGGACCAGGGGAAAGCAAAGAGAUAAAGCAAAUAAGCUAUAGAUCUGCAUUUUCUUCAUGGUCCAGGAUAUAUAAACAAAAAAAGGAAGCAGAUAAGCUAUAGGCUUGCUUUUCUUUAUGACCCAGGACAUACAGCCCUGCCGAGCAAAUAAUGAACGUAACUCACAAACUUCCUGCUUAUCAUCAAACGCACGCAUCCACUUAUCAUCAAACACCUCGGGUGACAGAAGAAUGCAGGUCAGCUCCCUGCUGCCUUGGCAUUAUCAAUCAGCCCAGGAACCAUCCUAUAAAAUCUCCAGCAAGCCUUUGUUUCCUUGCAGUCAGCUCCUCUUCCACUGAUUCUGCCUGUUGCUCCCUGAUAACAUACUUUGAUACUGUCUUUAAUAAAUCUGCCUUUCUUC
rnacentral:lncRNA from 10 species